CCUACGGGUGGCUGCAGUGGGGAAUAUUGGGCAAUGGGCGCAAGCCUGACCCAGCAACGCCGCGUGAAGGAAGAAGGCUUUCGGGUGGUAAACUUCUGUUAAGAGGGAAGAGCAGAAGACGGUACAUCUGGAAUAAGCCAAGGCUACCUACGUGCCAGCAGCCGCGGUAAUACGUAGGUGGCAAGCGUGGUCCGGAUGUACUGGGUGUACAGGGCGUGCAGCCGGGAAGACAAGUCAGAUGUGAAAUCCCGCGGCUCAACCGCGGAACGGCAUUUGAAACUGUUUUUCUUGAGUACCGGAGAGGUCAUCGGACUUCCUUGUGUAGCGGUGAAAUUCGUAGAUAUCA
rnacentral:rRNA from 1 species